AGAAUCAACGCUGGCGGCGUGCCUAACACAUGCAAGUCGCACGAGAAAGGGGCUUCGGCUCUGAGUAAAGUGGCGCACGGGUGAGUAACACGUGACUAAUCUACCCUCGAGUGGGGAAUAACCUAGAGAAAUCUGGGCUAAUACCGCAUAACACUUACGAGUCAAAGCAGUAAUGCGCUUGGGGAGGAGGUCGCGGCCGAUUAGCUAGUUGGCGGGGUAAUGGCCCACCAAGGCGAUGAUCGGUAUCCGGCCUGAGAGGGCGCACGGACACACUGGAACUGAAACACGGUCCAGACUCCUACGGGAGGCAGCAGUGGGGAAUUUUGCGCAAUGGGGGAAACCCUGACGCAGCAACGCCGCGUGGAGGAUGAAAUAUCUUGGUAUGUAAACUCCUUUCGAUGGGAAGAUUAUGACGGUACCCAUAGAAGAAGCCCGGCUAACUUCGUGCCAGCAGCCGC
rnacentral:rRNA from 1 species